AGACCAUGAUAUAGGCACCUCCUUAGUAGGUCCUUGUAUCUAUCCCAAGCUUCAUAUAUUGACUCACCAUCAAACUUUAUGAACAAAAUAAUAUCAUUCCUCAUUUU
rnacentral:snoRNA from 1 species